GGGCGGGGCUUAUGGUCCGCGUUUGAUUUUGGAGAAUUCAGACUUCUUAUCGGAGCAGAUAUUAUAAAAUAAACUUAUCCAACCCAACAGUUAAUGCAGAGCUGCCGACUGGGACGGACUGUUAGAAACAAAUAUCAGAAGCUAAAGGGACUGAGAGCUUUUAACAUCUACAGAGAACCAGGAGCUUCUGUUUGGACCUGCUGGAGCAGCAGAAGUUCCCCAUUCAACCACUGGGUGCCAGUAUUUCACCCAGUGUCACUUUAAAGGAGUUUCUACAUCUACCUUUCCUGACUGAUCUCCAGCUCUGAAGGAUUAAAGAGGAAAAUGACCAAUUUGGAAGCUUUGGAGGACAUCUGGUGGACCAGUAACAGUGAAAUUGAGGAAUCAUCAGACAACAGCAGUUUGCAUUAAGCAGGAAGAAGAUGAGGACUUGCUGCUUCAUUUAUCAUCCAGAGGAUGUCCAGGGACCAUCACAAAUACAGCAGGCCAGGUCCCCUGCCACGGCUGAGACUUCAUUCUCUUCAAGCGAUGAUACUCCGGAAGAGAAGGUGUACGAGCCACCUUUCAGGCAGCUACGUUAAGCCUCAAGACUUGGGAAGCACAAGGUGAUCUGCUCCAACAUAAAAGACCUCUUAAUUUGGACCAAGAAAAAGAGGUAUGAAAGCUAGAAAGCAGGUUUGUCCUGCUACAUCUGCGACUGAUGACAGGGACAUGCAGCACAGUCCAGACCACCCUGACACGGAGCCACCUGUACCUUUCCCGAAGCGUCCUCCUGGACCCCAAAUAGACACAGAGCAACCUCAUGGUCCCCAUUUAGUCUAUUCAAAAAUUUUUUUUAGUGUCAGUAUUGUCAGGAACGUUGAGGAAAAAUAAAAUAAAUAAAAAAUAAAAAGAUAUUAAAAUGCAGAAAGGAUAGUAGCUGACGGAAACAAAAAUAAAUUUCAUUUA